UACGGAAGGCAGCAGUGGGGAAUAUUGCACAAUGGGCGCAAGCCUGAUGCAGCCAUGCCGCGUGUAUGAAGAAGGCCUUCGGGUUGUAAAGUACUUUCAGUCGUGAGGAAGGUGUUAAGGUUAAUAACCUUAGCAAUUGACGUUAGCGACAGAAGAAGCACCGGCUAACUCCGUGCCAGCAGCCGCGGUAAUACGGAGGGUGCGAGCGUUAAUCGGAAUUACUGGGCGUAAAGGGCACGCAGGCGGUUAAUUAAGUUGGAUGUGAAUCCCCGGGCUUAACCUGGGAAUGGCAUUCAAGACUGGUUAGCUAGAGUCUUGUAGAGGGGGUUAGAAUUCCAUGUGUAGCGGUGAAAUGCGUAGAGAUGUGGAGGAAUACCGGUGGCGAAGGCGGCCCCUGGACAAAGACUGACGCUCAUGUGCGAAAGCGUGGGGAGCAAACAGGGAUUAGAUAC
rnacentral:rRNA from 1 species